AUUGAACGCUGGCGGCAGGCCUAACACAUGCAAGUCGAACGGUAACAGGAAGAAGCUUGCUUCUUUGCUGACGAGUGGCGGACGGGUGAGUAAUGUCUGGGAAACUGCCUGAUGGAGGGGGAUAACUACUGGAAACGGUAGCUAAUACCGCAUAACGUCGCAAGACCAAAGAGGGGGACCUUCGGGCCUCUUGCCAUCGGAUGUGCCCAGAUGGGAUUAGCUAGUAGGUGGGGUAACGGCUCACCUAGGCGACGAUCCCUAGCUGGUCUGAGAGGAUGACCAGCCACACUGGAACUGAGACACGGUCCAGACUCCUACGGGAGGCAGCAGUGGGGAAUAUUGCACAAUGGGCGCAAGCCUGAUGCAGCCAUGCCGCGUGUAUGAAGAAGGCCUUCGGGUUGUAAAGUACUUUCAGCGGGGAGGAAGGCAGUAAAGUUAAUACCUUUGCUCAUUGACGUUACCCGCAGAAGAAGCACCGGCUAACUCCGU
rnacentral:rRNA from 1 species